UACAUGGGGUGCAAACGUUGCUCGGAAUUAUUGGGCGUAAAGCGCACGUAGGCGGCUACUCAAGUCAGAGGUGAAAGCCCAGGGCUCAACCUUGGAACUGCCUUUGAAACUAGGUAGCUAGAAUUCUGGAGAGGUCAGUGGAAUUCCGAGUGUAGAGGUGAAAUUCGUAGAUAUUCGGAAGAACACCAGUGGCGAAGGCGACUGACUGGACAGAUAUUGACGCUGAGGUGCGAAAGCGUGGGGAGCAAACAGG
rnacentral:rRNA from 1 species